UGGGUUUGACAUACACCAGAAAGCUGUAGAGAUACAGCCCCCCUUGUGGUUGGUGUACAGGUGGUGCAUGGCUGUCGUCAGCUCGUGUCGUGAGAUGUUGGGUUAAGUCCCGCAACGAGCGCAACCCUUGUCCUGUGUUGCCAGCACGUAAUGGUGGGGACUCGCAGGAGACUGCCGGGGUCAACUCGGAGGAAGGUGGGGAUGACGUCAAGUCAUCAUGCCCCUUAUGUCCAGGGCUUCACACAUGCUACAAUGGCCGGUACAGAGGGCUGCGAUACCGUGAGGUGGAGCGAAUCCCUUAAAGCCGGUCUCAGUUCGGAUCGGGGUCUGCAACUCGACCCCGUGAAGUCGGAGUCGCUAGUAAUCGCAGAUCAGCAACGCUGCGGUGAAUACGUUCCCGGGCC
rnacentral:rRNA from 1 species